UACGAAGGGGGCUAGCGUUGCUCGGAAUUACUGGGCGUAAAGCGCACGUAGGCGGGUCCUUAAAUCAGGGGUGAAAUCCUGGAGCUCAACUCCAGAACUGCCUUUGAUACUGAGGAUCUCGAGUUCGAGAGAGGUGAGUGGAACUGCGAGUGUAGAGGUGAAAUUCGUAGAUAUUCGCAAGAACACCAGUGGCGAAGGCGGCUCACUGGCCCGAUACUGACGCUGAGGCGGCGAAAGCGUGGGGAGCAACAGG
rnacentral:rRNA from 1 species